rnacentral:rRNA from 1 species
UACGUAGGGUGCGAGCGUUAAUCGGAAUUACUGGGCGUAAAGCGUGCGCAGGCGGUUUUGUAAGACAGGCGUGAAAUCCCCGGGCUCAACCUGGGAAUUGCGCUUGUGACUGCAAGGCUAGAGUACGUCAGAGGGGGUAGAAUUCCAGCGUGUAGCAGUGAAAUGCGUAGAGAUGUGGAGGAAUACCGAUGGCGAAGGCAGCCCCCUGGGACGUGACUGACGCUCAUGCACGAAAGCGUGGGGAGCAAACAGG